GCGCACCAGGCGCGAAUACUUUACAAUGUGCGAAAGCACGAUAAGGGAACUCUGAGUGCCUCCUAAGGAGGCUGUUCAGGUGUCUAAAAGCACCUGGAGUAAGGGCUGGGUAAGACCGGUGCCAGCCGCCGCGGUAACACCGGCAGCCCAGGUGGUAGCCACUUUUAUUGGGUCUAAAGCGUCCGUAGCCGGUUGAGUAAGUUCCUUGGGAAAUUUGGCUGCUCAACAGUCAAGCUUCCAGGGAAUACUGCUCGACUUGGGACUGGGAGAGGUCAGAGGUACUCCAGGGGUAGGGGUGAAAUCCAUUAAUCCCUGGGGGACCACCGGUAGCGAAGGCGUCUGACCAGACCAGGUCCGACGGUGAGGGACGAAGGCUAGGGGCGCGAACC
rnacentral:rRNA from 1 species